UGGGGAAUCUUGCACAAUGGGGGAAACCCUGAUGCAGCGACGCCGCGUGAGCGAUGAAGGUUUUCGAAUCGUAAAGCUCUGUCCUAUGGGAAGAUAAUGACGGUACCAUAGGAGGAAGCCCCGGCUAACUACGUGCCAGCAGCCGCGGUAAUACGAAGGGGGCGAGCGUUGUCCGGAAUUACGGGGCGUAAAGGGUUCGCAGGCGGCAUGACAAGUCCGAUGUAAAAGGCGAAAGCUCAACUGUCGUAAGCAUCGGAAACUGUCAAGCUUGAGUGAAGGAGAGGCAAGUGGUAUUCCUAGUGUAGCGGUGGAAUGCGUAGAUAUUAGGAGGAAUACCGGUGGCGAAGGCGACUUGCUGGACUUCAACUGACGCUGAGGAACGAAAGCGUGGGUAGCAAACAGG
rnacentral:rRNA from 1 species